CCUACGGGUGGCAGCAGUGAGGAAUCUUGGGCAAUGGGCGCGAGCCUGAACCAGCCAAGUAGCGUGAAGGAUGACUGCCCUACGGGUUGUAAACUUCUUUUAUAAAGGAAUAAAGUGAGGCAAGUGUGCCUUUUUGUAUGGACUUUAUGAAAAAGGAACGGCUAACUCUGUGCCAGCAGCCGCGGUAAUACGGAGGAGGCGAGCGUUAUCCGGUUUGAUUGGGUUUAAAGGGAGCGUAGAUGGGUUGUUAAGUCGGUUGUGAAAGGUUGCGGCUCAACCGUAAAAUGGCAAUUGAUACUGGCAGCCUUGAGUACAGAUGAGGUAGGCGGAAUUCGUGGUGUAGCGGUGAAAUGCUUAGAUAUCACGAAGAACUCCGAUUGCGAAGGCAGCUUACUAAACUGCCACUGACACUGAUGCUCGAAAGUGUGGGUAUCAAACAGGAUUAGAUACCCCAGUAGUC
rnacentral:rRNA from 1 species